rnacentral:rRNA from 1 species
UACGUAGGGGGCAAGCGUUGUCCGGAAUCAUUGGGCGUAAAGAGCGUGUAGGCGGCCUGAUAAGUCGGCUGUGAAAGUCAAGGGCUCAACCCUUGAAUGCCGGCCGAUACUGUCAGGCCAGAAUCCGAAAGAGGCGAGUGGAAUUCCUGGUGUAGCGGUGAAAUGCGCAGAUAUCGGGAGGAACACCAAUGGCGAAGGCAGCUCGCUGGGACGUUACUGACGCUGAGACGCGAAAGCGUGGGGAGCAAACAGG